GUGGACCUCAAUGCGGGGAGAGUUUUGGAAAAGAACGUUGAUAUUGCCCGACCCUUAAGGCACCAUGGGAAAGGUAGUUCGGCGCAUCCCAGCAGCUGGACUACAACUCCCAAGAUACCCGUGGAGGAGCGAGCGAGGCGGCUGCGGUGGCCUCCUCCGCCGCAAGGUGGUUAGUGGGGUGGUGCAUUUGUGAGGAUUCGGUUAAACAUCCGGCGAGAAAACUGCUAGGGACUAGCGUUUCCAGCCUGCUCUCUAUGUUCCACUCUGUGGAGCCAUCUUAUUUGAGGCUUGACCUGCACAAGGGAUUCUGGGGAUUGUGGUUUCCCAGCAUAUCCCGGCUGACACCUGAAGGACGCAGCUUAACCUAGCGGGUCCUGCUGGGCGUACCUUCGACACCUGGGCAGACAGAUCCCCCCCAUGAUGCCUAUUUUAUCCUGAUAUCGUCCAGCUGCUGAGAGUGGGGGUGGACAGCGUGAUUUGCCUCUGCCAAAUGCAGAAGAUUUGGAAGGCAUCUUGGGACCCUUCUCCAUUCCUAGAUUUCCUGAUGGAUGAUGCUGAAGGAGGCAAGGAUAUACAAUGGAGAAAGGACAGCUUGUUCAAUAAGUGGUGC